AGAGUUUGAUCCUGGCUCAGAUUGAACGCUGGCGGCAGGCCUAACACAUGCAAGUCGAGCGGUAGAGAGAAGCUUGCUUCUCUUGAGAGCGGCGGACGGGUGAGUAAAGCCUAGGAAUCUGCCUGGGUAGUGGGGGAUAACGUUCGGAAACGGACGCUAAUACCGCAUACGUCCUACGGGAGAAAGCAGGGGACCUUCGGGCCUUGCGCUAUCAGAAUGAGCNCAGGUCGGAUUANCUAGUUGGUGAGGUAAUGGCUCACCAGGGCGACNAUCCGUAACUGGUCUGAGAGGAUGAUCAGUCCCCCCUGGNAACUGAGANCCCGGGCCCAAANUCCCCNCNGGGNGGNCCCCNNNGGGGGAAAUUUUUGGAACNNGGGGGGANAAACC
rnacentral:rRNA from 1 species